UCUGAGAGUAUAACAUAGAAAUAGGUUCGACAGGCUUUGGUUCUCAAGUGCUGUGAGACUGAAGAUAUAGGCAGUUGUAUCCUGGGAUUCUUAAACGUAUCAAACCGGCACACUACGGGCGUUUAAAGGAUUAAGGAAAGAGAUCUAAUCUCGACUCUGCUUCAACCUAGUUCUUUUUCAACUUUGGUAUUAUAUUAUUAUAUUUUUAUUCAUGUUAUUUGUAAAUUUUUUGCUUUACAUAUCAAAUUUGCCUAUCUAGUAAAUUUGGUGCCUACAGUCUUAAUCCUUUAAAAUUUCAUAUUGCCUUGUUGCGCUAAUGAAAUAUUUGAUUGUGAAGCAAUUACAUUUAACGGUGCCGUGGAGAAAGCUUAACGCUUUGGAUAUGCUUUGAUUUAACAACUCUGUUUUGCAGGACAUGAGCGUUUUGCAUAUUAUAUUCUUAAUAUUAUUUUCUGCAGAAUUUGAUUCGUUUAUUGUUCUCCGCUCGUGAUUCUAAUGUUUUAGUUAAUUUGCUCAUGCAUUCGUUCUGUUACCGUAUUGAUUUAUUACGUCUGCUGCUGUUAUUUCAAACAAAUUUUCAUUAGAUAAUAGUUCAUCUAUAGAAAAUGAUUUGGUUGGUAAUCGUUUAGUUGACUUGUUCAAUAGUUCAUAUUGUUUAUGUUUAUUGGUUAAGCAGAUUUGUUAGAUUCAUUAUUUUCCUUGCACGAACUUUUUAGUCUCGUCUGCGGGAUUAUAUAAUUUUUUUUUUCUUCCUAUUUACCUUCAAUCUUUAUUUUGGUUAAGGUUUUUUGGAAAGAAGGAAAAAAAAAAACAGAAAUCGAUUUGUUCUUUAAUUAAAUUAAAACUGCAUCGGUUUAGAAUCAUGGUUUGAUUAAUAAUAGGGAAUUUCUUACCGUUCUUGUCGAAUUGAUGUAUACGGUUUAUUUGAAUUUAUAAUCGAAUCUGUUGACCUGCUGCUACUCGUUAAAAUAUGGAAAUAUGAUUUAAAUAUUCAAUUGUUUUUAACGUUAGUGAGCUUGAUUAGUUUGACUAGUAAAUUUGUUUCAAUCCGGUUGAUAAUUGCUAGAUUCAUUUUAAUAUUUUUUAUAACGUUUUCUAUUUAUUAGAAAGAAUAUUGAUAAACGUUAAUGUCGCUUGAUUCUCGUAACUGAUUAUGUUUUAAUAUUGUCUUUGCAUUUACCGGAUAGUACCGUUUCAGUUUUAAUACUGAUCUACUAUUAAUAUAUUUAUUCUCAUAAUUUAUAUAUUGCAACUGAACUUCUAUUUAUUGGUUUUAAAAUUAGUAUAUUAAUUCAUUUUGUUUUUGUAAACAGAUUUGAAUUCAAUAUGACUAACGACAACCAAACUUCGAUCGAUGGGCAAAACAAAAGUGCGAUCGAUGCUGCAACCGUUGGUGGUGGAAAUGGUUCAAGUGAGUCGAUGCUCCAAACUCAGUUUGGAAGUGGUCUUCCACAUGGAAACCAAUCAGUACCUGGCGCUGCAAGCGUAGGACUGUUGCCCGAAAAGUUCGGUGGGAAUGGGUUCAAAACUUGGCAUCAAAAGAUGCAAUUCUUUUUGACCAAUUUGAAUUUGGAUAAGUGUCUCAAAGAAGAUCCACCCAUUCUUCCAUCUGGAAACACAGAUCCCAUGGUUUUUGCCAGUGUGGAUUCGUGGAACCAUUCGGACUUUGUGUGCAAAGGUUGGAUUUUAAGCCGCUUGAUUGACCCGCUGUACGCUGUAUACUGUGAGGUGAAAACUUCCAAGCAGCUUUGGACUGCUUUGGCAAAGAAAUACAAGUCCGAGGAUGCUGGCUGUCAGAAAUAUGCUACGGCAAAAUUUCACAACUUCAAAAUGGUGGAUUCAAAACCCAUCAUGGAACAAGUUGAAGCCUUCCAAUUGAUUACGCAUGAGAUAGCGGCUGAAGGGAUGUCGAUUUGUGAAAUUUUCACGGUCAAUUCCUUCAUUGAGAAGCUCCCUCCUAGUUGGUUGGACUUCAAGAACUAUCUCACACAUAAGCGUAAGGCAAUUUCCCUCGAGGACUUGAUUGUCAAGCUGCGAGUUGAAUCCAGAAACCGUGAAGCCGAUGCUGUUCUCAUUCGCAAGAAUGAUGUAAACUUGGCUGAGCACAAGAAUAAGGGGAAAGGAAAAGUUCCUCCAAAAAGCACCACAAGCUUUAAGAAGCCAAUGGAACAUGUGAAGUUCACUGGAACUUGUCGCAAGUGUGGCAAGGUGGGCCAUAAAGCUCAUGUUUGCCGGAGCAAGGCUGGUCCAAGCUAUGACAAGGGGAAGUCUCAAGCUAAUUUGACUGAAGAUGACAUGUGUGCUGUGGUCACUGAAGUCAACAAUGUUGAGGACAACCCAAGAACUUGGUGGUAUGACACAGGUGCCACCAUUCAUGUGUGCAUUGAUAAGGACAUGUUUUCCACUUAUCAAAAAUGCAAUGGUGAGGAGCGACUCUUAAUGGGUAACACUGGCUCGUCCAAGAUUGAAGGCAAAGGUGAAGUGAAGCUUCAGAUGACCUCAGGAAAAGAGAUAACUCUUAAGAAUGUGAAGCAUGUACCAGAUAUGCGGAAGAAUCUGAUUUCCGGUUCACUUUUGAGCAAAGCUGGAUUUGCUAUAACCUUUGAUUCUGAUAAGGUUGUACUCAAGAAACAUGGGGUUUACUUGGGAAAGGGGUUUGUUCAAGGUGGACUUGUCAAAAUGUGUGUUAAGACAGUCCUACCUUAAAAAUAUGUAAGGGAUGUUUUUCAUUUGUUUUUUCCAUUUCAAUUCAAUAAAGAAUAAUGCAGUUUUUUCUUAUUUGAUUGAAUUUUUUCUACAAUUGUUUGUUCAUGGAAAAACAUUGUGUAUGAAAAAAAAAACAAAUGUAUAAAGAAAAAGAAAAACCCCCAUCGACCUCUCUUGGAGAGAAAACGAACAUUUUGAAUUAAAUCACUAUAUUUGUGUGCUUUAAAAUAUGUUCAAAAUAUGAGACUUGGAAAAUAUAAUUUCUAAGUUAAUUCAGAAAAUGUGGGGGUGAGUAAAUCUUACCACACAAGUAAUUCAGUUAAAUAAAUACUGAAAAGCUAUAACUAUAGUAUUAAGUUAUGUACUUAAAAGUUAUGGGCUGCUUCCAACAAUUGAUCUCGACUAAUAUCAAGAGAUUAUGUUCACUAUGAUGACAACCUAGGAUCCUUUUAUUAUAGGUGUGUCAUGAGAUCAAAUUGUUAUAUCAUCAAAAGGAAUGGGUCGCCUGUGAAUUAAGAUGAGGUUUCGCGGUAACUCUACCUAACUGACUGGAGAUCCCAAGAAAUAGGUUCAAGGAGACAACUAAGUGAAACUAAGUCUGCCCAAAGCACUGUAAGACUUCGGUCUAUACCCAGUUCCUAUGAUGAUUAAACAGUGCUACAUGUAAGGAAUACAGGAUAAGCAUUAGCUUUUAAUGAUUUGUGUCCAUAGCUUUGAGAUAUGAAUGGAGUAGUACAUGAUACUCCUCUAAACAAAGUUAAUGGCAAAUCACCUUGUGAGUGUGAAAUGGGGCCGUUUCUAGGAGAAUGAAGGAAAGGCUAUAUUCUCCAAGUUCACUCAUGAUUACCAGGACUGUUCACGGCCAAAAUGAACACAAUAGAGAACCUAAUCUAUGAAAAAAUGAAGCUGUGUUUUGGCUAUUGUCUAGGUUUACACCAAAGCCCGGGAGGUUCAAGACAUCAUGGCCACCUCCUGGCCGAGUAAAUCCGAUAGUUAUUAACAAUGACUGGUUCAAGGCUGAAAAAUUGCUACCAACUCAUCAUGCAGUGGAUUUUUUGUUUAUACUCUCAAUAGUUGUUUUUAUCGAGUCUUUUUGAGUCUUGUCGAGUCUUGUCUAGGUAGUCAAGUCUGUCAAGUCUAUCGAGUCGUCUAGUGUCUAGAGUCAUUUCUAUUCAUGUGGGGGAUUGUUGGAACUGUUUUUUGGACAAAUGGCUAUGGCCAAUAUUCCGGUAAAUUUUUCGAGCAAUUUGAUUGUCGAAAUGACCGGAUUGUGGAAUCGUAGGAUUCAUUGUUAUGAGCACUAUGGUAUAGUGUAAUCAUAUAUCAAAAACGAAGUUCGUUUGAAUGAGAAAUGAAAGUCUAAAAUAGAUUAUUUGUAAAAUAUCUAUAUUAGAAUUGUGAGGUAAGAAACCUCUUGUGUUUAAAAUGGAGAAGUUAUAACAAAGUUAUAAAAAAACUUUAUAGACACUUUGGUGUAUUAUAAAAAGAGAUAUUUGGGCUGGAUCAAGUUUUGGAAUUAAUCAAAUAAGAUUAAUCUUGUUAGCCCAAAUUCAUUUGCUAAUUAUUUAAAUAAAUAAUACAAGCAUAUUAUCUCUUGGUGUAGAGAAUGAUUCUCACGUUUUUGACCAAGGCUCUUCAUUACUACUUGACUAAAUCUUUGACCAAUGUCAAGUUGAUUUUGUGAAUUUAUUUUCGUAACAUAUGAAAAUCAAUCACCUCUUAAUAGUCAUUAUGAAGGAAUCAAAAACCACCAUCUCCAUUUAGUGCUCGCAGUAGCACACGUUAGACUUUAUAUUCUAUAUAAAGGUCAUGCUCUUCUCAUUCUCAUCAUAUACAUCCAAUACAAACAAAACCACUUUCUCCUACUUCUUUUGUUUUGUGUCUGAGAGUAUAACAUAGAAAUAGGUUCGACAGGCUUUGGUUCUCAAGUGCUGUGAGACUGAAGAUAUAGGCAGUUGUAUCCUGGGAUUCUUAAACGUAUCAAACCGGCACACUACGGGCGUUUAAAGGAUUAAGGAAAGAGAUCUAAUCUCGACUCUGCUUCAACCUAGUUCUUUUUCAACUUUGGUAUUAUAUUAUUAUAUUU
rnacentral:lncRNA from 1 species